GGGGUUGUGGCUCAGUGGCAGGGUGCUUGCCUAACAUGUAUGAGGCCCUGGGUUCCAAUCUCAGCACCA
rnacentral:tRNA from 1 species